UACAGAGGUCCCAAGCGUUGUUCGGAUUCACUGGGCGUAAAGGGUGCGUAGGUGGCGCGGUAAGUCGGGUGUGAAAUCUCGGAGCUUAACUCCGAAAUUGCAUUCGAUACUGCCGUGCUCGAGGACUGGAGAGGAGACUGGAAUUCAUGGUGUAGCAGUGAAAUGCGUAGAGAUCAUGAGGAAGACCAGUGGCGAAGGCGGGUCUCUGGACAGUUCCUGACACUGAGGCACGAAGGCCAGGGAGCAAACGGG
rnacentral:rRNA from 1 species